CCUACGGGAGGCAGCAGUGAGGAAUUUUCCGCAAUGGGCUAACGCCUGACGGAGCAAUGCCGCGUGGAGGAGGAAGGCCUGUGGGUCGUAAACUCCUUUUCUCAGAGAAGAAGAUCUGACGGUAUCUGAGGAAUAAGCAUCGGCUAACUCUGUGCCAGCAGCCGCGGUAAUACAGGGGAUGCAAGCGUUAUCCGGAAUUAUUGGGCGUAAAGCGUCCUGAGGUGGCUUACCCAGUCGACUGUGAAAGCUCAAGGCUCAACCUUGAAACGGCAGUCGAAACUUGUAAGCUUGAGUACGGUAGAGGCAGAGGGAAUUCCCGGAGGAGAGGUGAAAUUCGUAGAUAUCGGGAGGAAGGCCAAAGGCGAAAGCACUCUGCUGGGCCGAUUACUGACACUGACAGACGAAAGCUAGGGGAGCGAAAGGGAUUAGAUACCCUGUAGUCCUAGCCGUAAACGAUGGAUACUAAGUGUUGCGCGACUCAACUCGUGCAGUGCUGCAGCUAACGCGGUAAGUAUCCCGCCUGGGGAGUAUGCUCGCAAGAGUGAAACUCAAAGGAUUGACGG
rnacentral:rRNA from 1 species